CUACAUAAGGGUGAUGUGACUGUAAUGUCUGUUGCUCCAUUGAAGUUGAUAUGGCUGUCUCUUCCCUCCCUCAGUGUUCGAUAUGCAUGUCUCCCAAAGCUAGGUGCGUGGUCAUAGCUGGCUUUCCCUGUGGGGAGGACUGUUCUCCUGUCAAGGAUAUAUGAGUAGUUCUGCUCUUCUGCUAGAACCUCCAAACAAAACUCAAGAAUGGUGCUGGAGCCGGAGAGAUGGCUCAGCAGGUUAAGGCCCUUGCUGUCAAGCCUGUCUACCU
rfam:Mesocricetus auratus contig097001, whole genome shotgun sequence.